rfam:Ixodes scapularis strain Wikel colony gcontig_1108379713846, whole genome shotgun sequence.
GCAGUCGUGGCCGAGUGGUUAAGGCGAUGGACUAGAAAUCCAUUGAAGUCUCUACGCACAGGUUAGAAUCCUGUGAACUGCG